rnacentral:lncRNA from 1 species
CCGGUCACAAUGAUUUCAAAAAAAAAAAAAAGUUGUGUGGAUAUCCCGGUCACAAUGAUUUCAAAAUAUUAAGAUACAUGUAUAUAUUUACAAAUUGUUGUAUAAAUUUUAUUUGCAAAAAAAAAAAAAAAAGUUGAAAAAUGAAUAUUGAAAAAGGAAAAAAAAAAUAUUAAGAUACAUGUAUAUAUUUACAAAUUGUUGUAUAAAUUUUAUUUGCAAAAUUUGAGGUGAGAGUUGAGGUGGCACGAAUCAUUUUUAGAUCAAUAUUGGAUUUGAAAUAGUUAUCUAGAAUCUGUAAUGUACAUUAAUAAAAUAGAAACAAAAACUUUUGUAUUUCAUUGUCGUAGAAUUUUGUUUUUAAAUAAUAAAUAAAUAUAAAUAUUAGGGUUUCUAUCUUUCUUCUAUUCCUUUCAGCCUCGGAAAAAUACUCUCCUCCAUUUAAA